rnacentral:rRNA from 1 species
UACGAAGGGGGCUAGCGUUGCUCGGAAUCACUGGGCGUAAAGCGCACGUAGGCGGAUUGUUAAGUCAGGGGUGAAAUCCUGGAGCUCAACUCCAGAACUGCCUUUGAUACUGGCGAUCUCGAGUCCGGGAGAGGUGAGUGGAACUGCGAGUGUAGAUGUGAAAUUCGUAGAUAUUCGCAAGAACACCAGUGGCGAAGGCGGCUCACUGGCCCGGUACUGACGCUGAGGUGCGAAAGCGUGGGGAGCAAACAGG